rnacentral:rRNA from 1 species
AUAUCAAUAAGCGGAGGAAAAGAAACUAACAAGGAUUCCCCUAGUAACUGCGAGUGAAGCGGGAAAAGCUCAAAUUUAAAAUCUGAUGGUCUUUGGCCGUCCGAGUUGUACUUUAGAGAAGCGUUUUCCGCGCUGGACCGCGCACAAGUCUCCUGGAAUGGAGCGUCAUAGAGGGUGAGAAUCCCGUCUUUGGCACGGAUACCCCAGGGCUUUUGUGAUGCGCUCUCGAAGAGUCGAGUUGUUUGGCAAUGCAGCUCAAAAUGGGUGGUGAACUCCAUCUAAAGCUAAAUAUUGGCGAGAGACCGAUAGCAGAACAAGUACCGUGAGGGAAAGAUGAAAAGCACUUUGGAAAGAGAGUGAAACAGUACGUGAAAUUGUUGAAAGGGAAACGCUUGAAGUCGGUUGCGUCGACCGAGACUCAACCUUGCCUCGGCUUGGUGUACUUCUCGGCUGACGGGUCACCAUCAAUUCCGCCCCUUGGAUAAUGGCGAGGGAAAUGUGACACCUUUGCGGUGUGUUAUAGUCUCUCGUCGCAUCCAAGGGUGGGGAUUGAGGAACACAGCACGCGCCUUUGGGUGUCGGGGCUUUGCCCACGAUACGUCCUUAGGAUGUUGGCGUAAUGGCUUUAAACGA